rnacentral:lncRNA from 1 species
GUCCAAUUUUAGGAACUGAUCUAACUUGCUGCUAAAAAGCCAUGUAGUUCCAAUUCCAGCUCUUCCAUUCGCCGACGCUGUCACUUGGAUGUGUCCAAACUUCCCAGGAUGAAGACAAUAUUUACCUUACAGAGCAGCUUCACGGUGCUGUGAUGCAGGAAAUACAUGUCUCGGCUGUUCCUCAACAGCCAGACGGGAAGACAGAGGAUGCCCAGAGGAUGCCCGACUGAACCAUUCAAAGGGCUUGCUCACAGCCGAGGGGAAUUGGAGUCCCUUAGAGCUGAGGAAAGUGGCACCCCAAGAGUUUAAACCACUCACCCGGGAACACAGAGCCUUGAGGUGGCAGGAGGGGCCUUCAGACCCUGGGGGCUUAAGCUUCCCGGCUGGCCCUUGCUCGGCCUCACUGGGCUGCCGUGAUGGCUCCGGUCUGGAUGAAUGUCGAUGAACUUUUAACGAGGUCUUAAUCAAGGGCUUCAUUACUCGGACGCUCGGGUAGCCCAGCCGUGGCCCCUUUGCAGACAAAGGCUGGUAUUCAAGGCAGGAGGACUUGGGAUUGCUCACAGGUCCUGCUCCCUUUCAAGGACGCUGCUGUCCGCCUUUUCACCCCUUUAUUCCCACCGCCAGGAGGACCCUGAAAUGAACAAAAGGGAACCCUCAGAUCUACUUUGCAUUAGGUCUGGACUGCCCUUGGCCCUGGUGCUAAUGAAGGAACUCCACAAAUCCCUCUGAAAAGUUGCAUUUUAUUUGCAUAUGUUUAGCUGCCCCCAGAGUCCCCGCUUCCUAAGACUGAUGGGACCCUCCUAGAACCACAGGAGGCCACAUUUUUCAUGUCUGCCCCCCGCCCCCGCGCCCCUUCCCCAGCCCAGCUAACCUUGUCUUGCUUGUUGAGGCCAAGCCCCGGCAGACCGUUCACACAACAGAAAGGCAAAGAUUCAUCUGCCUUCAUUUCCAGCUGCCAACUUAGCUCGAAAAUCCCAGCUUGACCUCAUUUCUGACUGUAUUUUCUCCUUCAAAGACCCCAGCGUGAUUAUGUGCUCACAAACCUGAGAGCUGGAGGCUGGGUGUUUCCCGAGCAGCUCUUGGUUUUCAAGUGUUUCACCAUGUAAUGUGCAUCAGUCAUGAGCCUCGGGUCUGGGGGCCGAGAUCAGACUCGGGGAAAAUUGUCAUAGACAUUUCGUGCCUUUGGCAGCCAUUCUCCUAGAUGCCUUGACUGUGGAGCCCUGAGGACAGCCAACUUUGAAAAGUCGAAUAUUGAUUCUGAGCACCAGAUCCUUAACUCACUGAGCAAGGCCAGGGAUCGAACUUUCGUCCUCAUAGGUCUUAGUUGGGUUCCCGACCACUGAACCACAAAGGGAA